UCUGCAGCCAGUGACCAGAACUUCCAACAGCAACCCCCUCCCCAUCCCCCCACCCCCCACACACACACACACUUGUGCCAGGGACUGAGCGGUCCUGCCCUAUGAGGUUGGCUUUGAGACUACAUGAGAUUAGAGAGACACAUGGGGAGAAGGGCUGGCUUCAUGACACAAGUCUGGUCAAUGAGACAAAGGGGAUGUCUGCUGAGGAUUCUCAGAAAAGAUUUGCCUUGUCCUCUUCUUCUGGUCUUGAACCUAGAUGUGCUGGCUGAAGGUGACACCAAAGACCUGCUCUGCCCCCUCAUGACCUGUGACAUGGCACUACCACGCGUAGAAGGACGUUAACGCACAGAUAUAAUUAACAUGCUCCGUAUUUUCUUAUGUGCUCAACAAUAUUGUAAGAGCUGCCCUAUUUAUUGGGCCCACAUUGUGGGGUAAGCUGAUAAAUAAAAAAGAGGAUUAAAUCUAAUACCUGUAUAGG